AUACGUACUUAAAAUACUUACAUAUAUUUACAUACUUACUCACAUAUUUACGUUUGAGGUGUUAUGUUUUUCUAGAACAUUUACACGUCUCAACGACGCUAGGUACACUAUAAUAAAAAAAACUUAUAAUACAUUGCAAUCGUAAUAAAAUAUUACGAUUAUAUUAAUAAUCGAAUACUCUUUAAUCGAAAAAAAAAAAUACAUUCUUUUAUCGAACACCGUACACGUUAUACUUACACGCGUGUCGUCUGCAAAAGUCUAUGUAUAUUAUGUGUUUUUCUUAACUUUUGACGAAAAACAAAAAAAAUAAAAUACAUAAAGGAUACAGUAAAAUUAACCCCUUAUAUUAUCUUUUAUUCGGAUAUUUUUCUUUCUAUUAGAGAGGGUAGGGAGCAAAUCCAAAAAAAAAAAUAUACCAUUUUAUUCUUCCACCGUCUGUUUUCCUCGAGAAAAAAAACAAAAGGUACUGUUAGUUUUCCACCAAACACUUCACUUUUGUCAAUAAUCAUGUAUAUUUAGCUCCGAAAAUUAUUGAAAAAUAUCAAUUUAUCGAAAAAUAUGUAAGUACUGAUUUCAAACGGCAAUGAGUGUCUUUUUAUUAACAGUCGCGUGCAUGCAAUUUUCCCCACAGUUCAAUUUGUUAACUGAAUAACAGAAAUUUUAUUAAUUUUCAUCAACGCCAUUAAUGUUUUACGAUAAUAACGCUAAUACAUAAUUAAUUAAUAUUCGUGGAAAAUACGAAAGGUAAUCGUAGAAUAUUACAUUGGACUUAUUAAC